GGGAAUAUUGCACAAUGGGCGCAAGCCUGAUGCAGCAACGCCGCGUGCGGGAUGACGGCCUUCGGGUUGUAAACCGCUUUCAGCAGGGACGAAGCUUUUUGUGACGGUACCUGCAGAAGAAGCACCGGCUAACUACGUGCCAGCAGCCGCGGUGAUACGUAGGUUGCGAGCGUUGUCCGGAUUUAUUGGGCGUAAAGGGCUCGUAGGCGGUUGAUCGCGUCGGAAGUGGAAACUUGAUGCUUAACGUUGAGCGUGCUUUCGAUACGGGUUGACUUGAGGAAGGUAGGGGAGAAUGGAAUUCCUGGUGGAGCGGUGGAAUGCGCAGAUAUCAGGAGGAACACCAGUGGCGAAGGCGGUUCUCUGGACCUUUCCUGACGCUGAGGAGCGAAAGCGUGGGGAGCGAACAGG
rnacentral:rRNA from 1 species